AGAGUUUGAUCCUGGCUCAGGAUGAACGCUGGCGGCGUGCCUAACACAUGCAAGUCGAGCGAAGCACUUGUGAAUGAUCCUUCGGGUGAUUUUGCUGGUGACUGAGCGGCGGACGGGUGAGUAACGCGUGGGUAACCUGCCUCAUACAGGGGGAUAACAGUUAGAAAUGACUGCUAAUACCGCAUAAGCGCACAGUACCACAUGGUACAGUGUGAAAAACUCCGGUGGUAUGAGAUGGACCCGCGUCUGAUUAGCUGGUUGGUGGGGUAACGGCCCACCAAGGCGACGAUCAGUAGCCGACCUGAGAGGGUGAUCGGCCACAUUGGGACUGAGACACGGCCCAAACUCCUACGGGAGGCAGCAGUGGGGAAUAUUGCACAAUGGGGGAAACCCUGAUGCAGCAACGCCGCGUGAGUGAAGAAGUAUUUCGGUAUGUAAAGCUCUAUCAGCAGGGAAGAAAAUAACGGUACCUGACUAAGAAGCCCCGGCUAACUACGUGCCAGCAGCCGCGGUAAUACGUAGGGGGCAAGCGUUGUCCGGAAUAAUUGGGCGUAAAGGGCGCGUAGGCGGCUCGGUAAGUCUGGAGUGAAAGUCCUGCUUUUAAGGUGGGAAUUGCUUUGGAUACUGUCGGGCUUGAGUGCAGGAGAGGUUAGUGGAAUUCCCAGUGUAGCGGUGAAAUGCGUAGAGAUUGGGAGGAACACCAGUGGCGAAGGCGGCCUACUGGGCACCAACUGACGCUGAGGCUCGAAAGUGUGGGUAGCAAACAGGAUUAGAUACCCUGGUAGUCCACACUGUAAACGAUGAUUACUAGGUGUUGGAGGAUUGACCCCUUCAGUGCCGCAGUUAACACAAUAAGUAAUCCACCUGGGGAGUACGACCGCAAGGUUGAAACUCAAAGGAAUUGACGGGGGCCCGCACAAGCAGUGGAUUAUGUGGUUCAAUUCGACGCAACGCGAAGAACCUUACCGGGAUUUGACAUCCUACUAACGAAGCAGAGAUGCAUUAGGUGCCCUUCGGGGAAAGUAGAGACAGGUGGUGCAUGGUUGUCGUCAGCUCGUGUCGUGAGAUGUUGGGUUAAGUCCCGCAACGAGCGCAACCCUUGCCUUUAGUUGCCAGCAUUAAGUUGGGCACUCUAGAGGGACUGCCAGGGAUAACCUGGAGGAAGGUGGGGAUGACGUCAAAUCAUCAUGCCCCUUAUGCUUAGGGCUACACACGUGCUACAAUGGGUGGUACAGAGGGCAGCCAAGUCGUGAGGCGGAGCUAAUCCCUUAAAGCCAUUCUCAGUUCGGAUUGUAGGCUGAAACUCGCCUACAUGAAGCUGGAGUUACUAGUAAUCGCAGAUCAGAAUGCUGCGGUGAAUGCGUUCCCGGGUCUUGCACACACCGCCCGUCA
rnacentral:rRNA from 1 species